CGCAGCCGCGGUAAUUCCAGCUCCAAUAGCGUAUAUUAAAGUUGUUGCAGUUAAAAAGCUCGUAGCUGAAUUUCGGAAUCAGUAUGUUGGUCGUGCUUCGGUACGUACUGUCAUUACUGGUUUCUACCUUCUGAAGAACCUUGAUGUCAUUAAUUUGGUGUCUUGGGGAAUCAGGACUGUUACUUUGAAAAAUUAGAGUGUUUAAAGCAAGCAUACGCUUGAAUACAUUAGCAUGGAAUAAUGAAAUAGGACGUUUGAUUCUAUUUUGUUGGUUUCUAGGAUCGACGUAAUGAUUAAUAGGGAUAGUUGGGGGCAUUAGUAUUCAAUUGUCAGGGGUGAAAUUCUUGGAUUUAUUGAAGACUAACUACUGCGAAAGCAUUUGCCAAGGAUGUUUUCAUUAAUCAAGAACGAAGGUUAGGGGAUCGAAGACGAUCAGAUACCGUCGUAGUCUUAACCAUAAACUAUGCCGACUAGGGAUCGGAUGAUGUUAUUUUUAAUGACUCAUUUCGGCGCCUUAAAC
rnacentral:misc_RNA from 1 species